GCCAGCAGCCGCCGGUAAUUCCAGCUCCCAAUAGCGGUAUAUUAAAGUUGUUGCAGUUAAAAAGCUCGUAGUUGGAUUUCGGAGCCGACCGGGCGGUCUGUCGAGAGACACGCACUGCUCGGUGGCUCUUCCUUUUCGGAGGCCCUGGCUGCCCUUGACUGGAGCGGGCAGGGGAUUCGGGACGUUUACUUUGAAAAAAUUAGAGUGUUCAAAGCAGGCCGGUGCUUGGAUACAUUAGCAUGGAAUAAUGGAAUAGGGCUUGGGUCCUAUUUUGUUGGUUUUCGGGACCGAGGUCAUGGUUAAGAGGGACAGUUGGGGGCAUUCGUAUUCAAUUGUCAGAGGUGAAAUUCUUGGAUUUAUGGAAGACGAACAACUGCGAAAGCAUUUGCCAAGGAUGUUUUCAUUAAUCAAGAACGAAAGUUGGGGGUUCGAAGACGAUCAGAUACCGUCGUAGUCCCAACCAUAAACUAUGCCGGCUAGGGAUCGGCGGAGGUCGCAAUCGCCUCCGUCGGCACCUUGAGAGAAAUCAGAGCCUUUGGGUUCCGGGGGGAGUAUGGUCGCAAGGCUGAAACUUAAAGGAAUUGACGGAAGGGCACCACCAGGAGUGGAGCCUGCGGCUUAAUUUGACUCAACACGGGGCAACUCACCAGGUCCGGACAUGGGAAGGAUUGACAGAUCGAGAGCUCUUUCUUGAUUCUAUGGGUGGUGGUGCAUGGCCGUUCUUAGUUGGUGGGGUGACUUGUCUGGUUAAUUCCGUUAACGAACGAGACCUUAACCUGCUAACUAGCCGCGCCGUUCCCGAACGGUGGUCCGUGCGGCUUCUUAGAGGGACAGUUGGCUCGAGCCAGAGGAAGUUUGAGGCAAUAACAGGUCUGUGAUGCCCUUAGAUGUCCUGGGCCGCACGCGCGCUACACUGACGGAGCCAGCGAGCGUGUCCUUCGCCGAAAGGUGCGGGUAAUCUUGGCAGCCUCCGUCGUGCUGGGGAUAGAUGGUUGCAAUUAUUGAUCUUGAACGAGGAAUUCCUAGUAAGCGCGAGUCACCAGCUCGCGUUGAUUACGUCCCUGCCCUUUGUACACACCGCCCGUCGCUACUUAAGAUGGGAUGGUUUAGCGAAAGCUUCGGAUUGGUACCGGCGCCGGU
rnacentral:rRNA from 1 species